GCCCCCGUAGCUCAAUCGGAAGAGCACCGGCCUUCUAAGCCGAUGGUUGUGGGUUCGAGUCCCGCCGGGGGUG
rnacentral:tRNA from 2 species